GUGACCUCAAAUCAGGUAGGACUACCCGCUGAACUUAAGCAUAUCAAUAAGCGGAGGAAAAGAAACUAACAAGGAUUCCCCUAGUAACUGCGAGUGAAGCGGGAAAAGCUCAAAUUUAAAAUCUGGCGGUCUUUUGGCUGUCCGAGAUGUAAUCUAGAGAAGUGUUAUCCGCACUGGACCGUGUACCAGUCUCCUGGGAUGGAGCAUCAUAGAGAGGAGAAUCCCGUCAUUGACAUGGACUGUCAGGGCUCUUAGUGAUGCGCUCUCAAAGAGUCGAGUUGUUUGGACUGCAGCUCAAAUGGGUGGAGAUUCCAUCUAAAGCUAAUAUCGCCGAGAUUACGAUAGGCGACCAGUACUGUGAGGUACAGAUUAAAAGACUAG
rnacentral:rRNA from 1 species